CUGACCCCAUGCCGAACUCAGAAGUGAAACGCCGUAGCGCCGAUGGUAGUGUGGGGUCUCCCCAUGUGAGAGUAGGGAACCGCCAGGU
rnacentral:rRNA from 2 species